CCGUAUGAACUCAAUGUAUUCAAAUAAUUGUUUAUAAGCACGGCAUGGUCCUGCCCGUCAAUUGCAAGAGGAGAGCACUGGUGCUCAGACUGGGUUUUAAAACAAAUGAAUGACCAUGUAACUUGACAUUUUAAUACAAUAUAAAUGGGUGUCAUUUGUGUAUAUUGAGGUAUUAGUGAUGUUAUUCCCUGAUUCAAGAUGACGUCAUAACUUUUUCAUCUCAUUGUCUGCAGUUCUUUGCCACAAGUGGUCCUCGAUCUAUACCAAAAAUUUCACGAUGUUUGGUGGGCAUGAAGAUUUCAAUUCUGGGGCCCAUUCCUGCCAAAUAUGAUGAUAAAAAUUGAUAACACAGACUUAGAUCAGAGAAUAUCUUUGUCAUUAUGAAACUAAAUCAGGACAAAAAAUAUUGUGUGAGAGAUAAAUACACCCAUGAUGUUUCUUUUAACGCAAGCAAAGAAAUAAAACUUGCCUCAUUGUUCAUGCAUAUAAAAGAAUUUAUACAUAAAA